UGAACGCUGGCGGUAUGCCUUACACAUGCAAGUCGUACGAGAGUUUUUAACUCAAGUGGCGGACGGGUGAGUAACACGUAAGAAUUUGCCUUUAGGAGGGGGAUAACAACUGGAAACGGUUGCUAAUACCCCAUAUGCUUUCGAGUGAAAUGGAUUUCCGCCUAGAGAGAAGCUCGCGGCUGAUUAGCUUGUUGGUAAGGUAAGAGCUUACCAAGGCGACGAUCAGUAUCUGGUUUGAGAGGACGAUCAGACACACUGGAACUGAGACACGGUCCAGACUCCUACGGGAGGCAGCAGUGGGGAAUUUUCCGCAAUGGGCGAAAGCCUGACGGAGCAAUACCGCGUGAGGGAAGACUGCCUAUGGGUUGUAAACCUCUUUUUUCAGGGAGGAAUAAAUGACGUGUACCUGAAGAAUAAGCAUCGGCUAACUCC
rnacentral:rRNA from 1 species